CCUCCCUCUCCUUUCCCCACUUCUCUGUCGCCUCUCCUCCCGUGGCAUUCGGCCAGCCGCCGCCGCCGCCGCGCGACCUCUGCUCCUCCCCGGCUUCGAACUCAGGCCGCCGCUCCGUCCCCCGUCCCCGUCGCACCUCCCCUCGAGCCGCCGGCUGGCCCUCUCCCACUCGUCCUUCUCCCUGCUCCCAUUCCUCCCUCGCGGGAACCCUAGCCGCCGCCCUCUCCCACUCGUCCUCCUCCCCGCUCCCCUUCCUGGCGGCGCACCCGACCGCCGCGCGACCUCUGCUCCUCCCCGGCGUCGAACUCAGGCCGCCGCUCCGUCCCCCGUCCCCGUCGCACCUCCCCUCGAGAUGCCGGCUGGCGCUCUCCCUUCACCGGAGGAGUUGGGUGAGACCGUGAGGAGCGGAGGCGGUGGCUUGUUGCAGACGCUGUUGCGGCUCCCUUUUCUUCCUCGCCGUCUUCUUCGCCUCCCUCCUCUGACCCAGGUAAUGCGGCCAGCCCUCGUCAACCCCGGCUAGCGGAUUCAUUAGCCUUCUACUCCAAUCCCUACCCCGAGAUCCAUCGUCGUUGUGUUGUUGCCGGUGAGAGCUGGGAGGAAGAGAGGGAGGCAAAGGGAUGGAGAUAGACAUGGGAAGGAGAAAGGGUCUUUCUCUGUUGAUCUCCUUUUUGUGACGUAGUAUGGUAGGAAAUUUAUCCAUCCACCCGUGGUGAGAACUUGUUGUCGCUGGUGCUAAAAUGGUGUUGCUGCAGCAGACAAAUGCCAUGGAUCAAGUGCCAUUCAGAUGUUGCAGGAGUCAAGUGUGUGUAAACCGUAAAGAUUAGACCAAUGGAUAUCAAAGAAAAGGAGCUCGACCAGGUAUUUCACCAUCUUGUGCUACACCGUCAUGUAUGUUCACCACUAUGAUGUAUAUUUACUUUACAUUCGUCCAUGAUGAAUCUCAGCGGAUAUUUGGUAUGCACUUAUAUCUAACUCCAAACCAAUUUGUUUUGAUAUAAAGCUUUGAUGUUUAUUAGGUGAAGUUCUUGUUUGUUGGGUUGCUAACAAAUUGCAGCUGUGUGCUGCACCGCUGGUAUCUUUAAUUCCUUGCUCUAGCAUUGAUAUAAAGCUUUGAUAUUUAUUAGGUGAAGUUUACUCUGUAUGCACAAGAAGUUAACUGCGGUAUAAUUCUUAAACACUUCGUUUUAUCAUGUAUGCAGCAUUGAUAUGGCUAUGCAAUGUUAGCCCAAAAUAGGCAGCAGUGCAGUAUACUAAUGUGAAAUCUUAUCAUUCUGGGGCUGCACUUCCUGUGGUGUUUAGACUCUCAUUAUUUCCCCAUAUGUUACAUAUAUAUAAAUAUGCUAAACCAGACCUACCUAUAUACCAAUAGAAGUACACUCAUUGUGUGAGGAGCUCUGUAUAUUGCUCACUUGGAAAGUAUAGGAUACUUCUUUUUCCUACACUUAAUAUUUAUCCUUCUAGAUCCAGAGCAUUAUUAGGCAGUAAUCUUAAAACAUAGUUUCUAGAGUUAAUUUUGUAUUUCUUGGUAAUAACUUUAUAUUAGGCCUGCAAACUAACUACUAUUGCAACUAUGCAACAUCAGGAGCACACCCUAUCAGCUUAAAUCACAAGGCAUGGAAAGUUAGUGUGUUUCCCGGAAUAUUGUUGGUUUUGUUAAAUAGAUGGCCCUCUUAGCAUGGCUAUGGUCACUUGGUCAAAAUCCAGUGUGUACAUCACUUUUUUGUUCUCAGUAAGUUUCUAGCAUUUCUACAUGCAUUUCUUUGUAGCCUAGGCAUAGUAAACCAUUGAUGCUAUUCCAAACACAAGCUCAAGCAAGUUCAGUAGAUUAUUAAUUUUUAUUAGUAUAAUCAGCAUGAGAUAGAGCUUGAUUUCAUCACUUGGUUUACUGUGUGCAUAUUUCCAUGCAGGUACCAUUCAUAUCCUAGAAGUUGUAGCUUCCAGCCUUUUAGUAACUACACAAAACUACCAAAGCUUCAGAGCCAUCAUGGAAUCACCACCGGUCCUCCCUUGCUGAAGUCAUGGAGGGGCAGCCGGUACCGGUGGGUGAGGAGAUCCACGACUGGACAGCAUCAUGUUCUGUUUAAACCUAUGCCUCCCCUGGGAAUCACUAUCGGUCCUCCUUUGCUCAAGUCAUGGAGGGGCAGCCGGUACCGGUGGGUGUGGAGAUCCACGACUGGACAGCGCAGACGCCCAGAUGGCGAGGAAGACGAGUCAUUGUCGCUGCCAACCUCCGCCUCUGCCCCCACACCCCUGACGCGAGCUUUGCCUCCUCUGCCGCUGCUGCAUCUUCUCCAGUGCCUCACCCCCAUCGGACUCGUCUGCCUCCCUGUCAUGCAGGUGCUCCUCGCGUGGCCAUGCUUUCAACCUCUCUCUCUAUCUCUGUUGUGUGCAUCUCCCUCAAUAGCCACUGGAUGUUUUAUCUGGUCCAUUGUGAGAUUUGCCAUACAUGAUUAGUAAUAACAGUAGGUUAAUUUGAUGGGCAUAAGCAUUAGUGAGGUGAAAUAUGUAGAGUUUGGAUUGAUUUACAGGUUCUUCUAAUGAACACACUGAGAUGGGCGUAGAUUUUCUGUUCGGUAUGCGAUCAUAUGGUAAGCGUGUUUAUUUUGUUGGGCACCCGUGUCCUUUGCUCCAUGCAAGAAAUUUCUUAUUUCUUUGUCUGAUGUAUUUGAAAAAUCAAUGUGAGAGAUGAGUUUUGGGUGAUUGUCUACAUAUAGUGUUCUUGCAUCUUAGUGUGAGUUGCGUCGGAUGGUAUUGUUUUCUCAAGGGAAUAAAUUCAUAUGCUUGGUAAGAAAAUGUUCAAUCUACAUGCACCAUGAGUUAAAAGAUAACUUUGAUGAGUCAGAUAGAUGUAGUAUGAUCCACAACCAUAGUUCUGAUCCACACAAUGCAUGAUAUCACUUUAGCCUGAGUCUUGUGGUUAGUACUUGCUACUUCUCCCUGAAAUAGAAUUCAUACCGACACUUUGUAUGGUUGGUUACAAAGAGCCACAAUUGUACCAGGAAAUCUAGAAACCCAACUGGAUAUGCCAAAAAAUACCAAUUCCUAGAACGUCACAUAGUGAUUGAAUUUGCGGCAUUAAAUACAUUCACUGUGCUGGAAGUACAUUACCCUGUGUAUAGUAAAAGGAGUACUCUAAAUACCAGUAGUGUUAUGCAAAUGAAUUUGACAUCUUCCGUCUCCACAUCAGGUCUAUCUUCUUAAGUAUGUCUGUCAAAUAAACAACACAUGUGCUACUCCAGGGCAAAGAGUGGUGCGAGCUAAUUUACAUAUUUUCCUAUGUCAUGAUGCACUUUCCUUACACACACCAACUAACUUCAACUUUCCUAUGAACCUAUCGAAUAUGAAGUGUGUCCUACCGAGUUGGAUAAAACUAUCACUGCAUUGUAAAUAAGUUAGCUCUUUCUCUCUGGUUUGUUAGUUCUAUGAAAAUAUAUUGUUAUAUCUUAAGCCUGUUAUUUUAGUCUCUCUUUCUCUUUGGUGUCAUAAUGAUAUGAACUUCUAUUUUGCUGCAAGAUUGGAGAGAUCCUUUUUAAACUCAACCUGUGUCAUAAGCUACUUGGUUCCUUCUCAUUACUUGGAGGAUGCAUGGAUUGGAGAGAUUAUGGAUGAGGACUGAAUUAUGUGUAUGCAUGAUAUCUUUUAAUUUUGGUCAUCUGUGUAGCUAUGAUAUCUUAGAAGAGUCCCAGUGUGUAUAUUUUGGUGAUCUGUAUCAUAAUAAGGAAGCAAAUUGAAUUAUACAGCGUCAAAGCCCAUCGUCUGCAAUGUUAUGCAGUUCCUUUUGAUGGAAAAUUUUAGUUUGUUGUGUAUUUCUAAUGGACGCGAUUAUGAAUGAGAACUGAAUAAUGUGUAUCUAUGAUGUUCUUAUUCCUGUGACUCAUCAUCUGGAGAUAAUUGUAAAUGAAUGAUUAAUCAUGGGUUUCUUUUGGUAACA